rnacentral:rRNA from 1 species
GGACGAACGCUGGCGGCGUGCUUAACACAUGCAAGUCGAACGGAAAGGCCCUGCUUUUGUGGGGUGCUCGAGUGGCGAACGGGUGAGUAACACGUGAGUAACCUGCCCUUGACUUUGGGAUAACUUCAGGAAACUGGGGCUAAUACCGGAUAGGAGCUCCUGCUGCAUGGUGGGGGUUGGAAAGUUUCGGCGGUUGGGGAUGGACUCGCGGCUUAUCAGCUUGUUGGUGGGGUAGUGGCUUACCAAGGCUUUGACGGGUAGCCGGCCUGGGAGGGUGACCGGCCACAUUGGGACUGAGAUACGGCCCAGACUCCUACGGGAGGCAGCAGUGGGGAAUAUUGCACAAUGGGCGGAAGCCUGAUGCAGCAACGCCGCGUGCGGGAUGACGGCCUUCGGGUUGUAAACCGCUUUCGCCUGUGACGAAGCGUGAGUGACGGUAAUGGGUAAAGAAGCACCGGCUAACUACGUG